rnacentral:rRNA from 1 species
GACGAACGCUGGCGGCGUGCUUAACACAUGCAAGUCGAACGGAAAGGCCCUGCUUUUGUGGGGUGCUCGAGUGGCAAACGGGUUAGUAACACGUGAGUAACCUGCCCUUGACUUUGGGAUAACUUCAGGAAACUGGGGCUAAUACCGGAUAGGAGCUCCUGCUGCAUGGUGGGGGUUGGAAAGUUUCGGCUAUUGGAGAUGGACUCGCGGCGUAUCAGCUAGUUGGUGGGGUAGUGGCUUACCAAGGCUAUGACGGGUAGCCGAACUGAGAGGGUGAUCGGCCACAUUGGGACUGAGACACGGACCAAGCUCCUACGGGAGGCAGCAGUAGGGAAUCUGACGCAAUGGGCGAAAGCCUGAUGGAGCAACGCCGCGUGGGUGAAGAAGGUCUUCGGAUCGGAAAGACGUGUUGUUAGAGAAGAAAGGGCGUGAGAGGAACUGAUGACGUUUCGACGGUAUCGAACAAGAAAGCCACGGCUAACUACGUG